UGGGAGCGGUGAGGUUUAAGCACGCGGGGUGUUUGUUGUGCGUGAGGUGGCUGAGUUUAGCGAGCAAGGACGCGUGCAAGCCGUGUGGGUGUGCGUGCAAGUCCCGAGUGUGAGUGUGCAAGGCGAGUGCGUGCCCGCGUGCCGAACCGACCCCUUCCUGACGCGUUCCCCCCCUACACUCUGAUCUUAUUUGAUCGGGUCGCGCUCCCGCCUCGCCGGCCCGGCCCGAGAUGAGAAGCUCUCCUCCCGCGAAGCCCCGGCCCCCCCCGGGCCGAGGCGCUGUGCGGCGAGGCCUAUGCGAACAGGCGGCGGCCGCUCCCGGGCUUCCCGAGCCGGCCCUUCCGGGGCCGGCCCGGCCGGGCGCUCAGAAGUGAUGAGUUGAUCAGAUAGACGAGGCGGGGCUCGCCCCUGCCCUUGAGUAUCGAGGCGAUUCUGAUCUGA
rnacentral:snoRNA from 1 species